rnacentral:lncRNA from 12 species
AUGUUAACUUUGUUCCAUCGAGCCAGCUCUCCUCCAGUUACCUUCUCCAGAGAGGGGCAGAUUUCAGCCACUUCCACAGUCCUGAGUUCAGAGACAGAGGACAGCCAACGAUGGUUCAGGAAAGGUGGUAAGGAACAACCUGGUGAGCAGUGCUGGGUGCUGCUCCUUGAUCAAAAAGCUUAUCCCAGAUCUGAGCCUGCUCGUCACUGUGACUCUUGGAUGCUGGACUUCGAUUUUCACAACGCGGAACACAGGGCGGUGCCGGGAAAAACUAUUCCUUCCCUCCCUCCUUGCUUUCCGCUUCCCCACGCUCCCUGUGCCCCCCACCCCCACCACACACACACACUCCCAUUCAUUGCCGCUGCUGUCACCCUGGAAUACUGCAGUAGGAGGACAGAACUGUCGUCUUGCCGUGUGUUCCAGAGUGAGGCUGAAAGUGCAUCCUGGCUUCUCCACUCCUCUGCUUCUCAUUUUUGGAGUGCGGCGGGGGAAUGGACGUCCUCCCCAAAAUGAUGACUCAGGAGACAGGAUGGGCAAAUUCUACUUGGAAGAUGAGUUUCUAGGAUUCCAGGCAGCAAAACAGACUUCUUCGAUUUUUAUAUUUGUUUUUCUCUUCUGUGUUAUCAAUUCUGAUUUCUUUUUUUUUUUUAAGAUUUUAUUUAUUUAUUCAUGAGAGAUAGCGAGGCAGAGACAUAGGCAGAGGGAGAAGCAAGUUCUCUGAAGGGAGCCUGAUGUGGGACUCCAUCCUGGGACCCUGGGAUCACAACCUGAGCUGAUGGUAGAUGCUCAACCACUGAGCUGCCCAGGUGUCCCUCAAUUCUGAUUUCUAAAAAAAAUAAAUAAAUAACAGAAUUAUGUAUUUACUGUACA